CAUCUUCACAUUCAUGGAUGCAGCUAAUUAAGAAUAGGUAGUUGUUUUGACUCAAGGAGAAUACUAUCUUAUAAAUCGAUAAAAGAAGAUUUGAUAGCUCAGCGUUUCUUUACCAUAUAGUUCACCAUUUCUGGACCCAUCAGACAUGUUUUGCUUCCAUGAUGAACAGAUUUAAUUAAUAGUCUCAAAGUUUUAGCCAGAAAAUUGCAUAUGCAUAAUACGGAGAGAUAAUGCUUCAGUUAGUUACCAUUUUUUUAAUGUAAUAAUGAAUAUGAUAUAUUUCAGCAGCAUUGCAGUUAAUUCUAGAGAGUUGUUGCAGCGGCUACCAAUCUUCUUCAACAGAGAACAAUCAGUUCAGCUGUCUGAGAAAUUAUAUUUUGAUUUGUUUUAUAUUCCUAAUCUUUCCGAAUAUGAAUCUAUUUAGGACUGCAGUGGUUUCAGGUUUCACCCAUUGCGUGCAUAAACUAUCUUAGUAUGUAUGCUAGGCUGGCGAAAUCAUCAAAUUCCUGAUUAAUGUGCAGUCAUGGCACGGUUGGGUGACAGGGCGAGGAUAUUGGUCAACGAGAAAUGCCUUGCUCCAAGAUGAUUGGCUUAUACUCAAGCCUUCCAAAUGGCUCCAUCAGCCGUGUGCAGCGGAUGUUACUGUGCAUGUCGCCUCUGCUCGAUACUGCCUGAUACAGAACCGGGGGGAAGUUUCCGGUUGAAUUCCACUGGUUUCCAAUUGUUCACCCCACUGUCGAUUGCUUGCUGGCAUUCUGAAUAUUCGAUGUUUCUUUGCUGAUGCAUCUGUGCUACACAACACAUCUGUGCCUUUGAAGUUGGUAAGGAUUUUAGUAAAUUAUCCAUUCA